CAAUAUGGAUAUUGGUCAUAUUUUUUGAAUGUUUAGUGUUCCAAGAGUAUAGCCCACCUUAUCAGCAGGGACGGAGCCAAGUGGGACCAAGGGGGUUCAUCGGUGGAAAAUUACACCAUAUAUAGAAGAUUAAUUUUUUUCUAUAUAUAUAUAUAUAUAUAUAUAUAUAGUAAAUGUUGAAUCCCUUUGGCUUCUUCGUAUGUUUACUUGUUCAAAUUUUGAAGCCCCUUAGAAAAAAUCCCGGCUCCACCACUGCUUAUCAGUUUCCAAUGUUCAAAUAGAUGAGUUAGCAGAAUGAGUGAGUUUCGCUUCAACAGGUACCUGGGUUGACUUUGUCACUCAUAUAGGCUAUCAUGCUAUUUCACAUUUCAGCGUUACUGGGGUAUUUCAUGAUUUGACGCAAGGACCAUGCUGGCUAAUCAUUGCUCAACAUUCCAUUUGAUUUGUGUUGUUUUUGUGUAGAUGUACAUCUCAUGACGUUCUUGUAGAAAAUGUGAAUCAAUAGGUGUUAGCUUCUCCUUUAUGGUUUUAUACUUUUCAGUUGAAGUAAUGAUUAAAUGAUCAUCAUACCACCUUAUGUAGGUUAGUGAGACGUUUGCUGAAAUGAUGUUCAAACAUGGGUUUGUGCAUUGUGAUCCACAUGCUGCAAACCUGCUAGUCCGCCCUUUACCUUCUGG
rnacentral:lncRNA from 1 species